UACGGAGGGUCCAAGCGUUAUCCGGAUUUAUUGGGUUUAAAGGGUCCGUAGGCGGGGUUUUAAGUCAGUGGUGAAAGCCUACAGCUCAACUGUAGAACUGCCAUUGAAACUGGAACUCUUGAAUGUGAUUGAAGUGGGCGGAAUAUGUCAUGUAGCGGUGAAAUGCUUAGAUAUGACAUAGAACACCGAUAGCGAAGGCAGCUCACUAAGUCAUGAUUGACGCUGAUGGACGAAAGCGUGGGGAGCGAAC
rnacentral:rRNA from 1 species